AUAUGAAAGGUUUGCUUUGAUUGUCUGUGGGGGAGAGGCUCAGUGCCUCCCCCUGCAGCUGCUUGUAAAUAAAGGGUCUCUGACAACUUCGUGACUAAACAACAGAGUGAAGCUUGUUUCUUCCACAAUUCUUGGUGCCGUGACUCGGCUGGCAACACCCGGCUGAGAGUACCGACAGGCUUGCAGACCGUUCCCCUCCGAAACCCCAGGCGCCAAAUCAAGACUUGAACUAUGGAUCCUGCUUUAAGGGUUUUCUCCCAUGGCCAAGGAAGCCACUUGGGAGUCAAGAAUUCAAGAUGUAUUGGGGAGAAGAAGAGACAUGAUAAGACAUAUUCAGUAGCAAAAGAAGGAGGAUUCACUCCCGGAAAGGGAGACAGGCCUGUGUUCUAGUCCUUGUUGCUAGAAGAAACCUUUCAGCACCAGAAAAGCUGCUUGAGUAGUAGUGGUAUGUUUGCUUUCCAUGGAAUAAAUUGUAGAUACAAGACCUGCUGUGUGUAGUAGCCAUGUUCCUUUACUGCUUCCCAGUCAUCUAAUGGCCAAAGCACCACUCUAAUGGCCGCUUGUUUGAUCAGAGACUUGCACUGUAGCAGAAAGCCCCCUUUUCUUCUUGCCUGCAGUUGCUCUCCCUUCCUUGGAUAUGUUUCUGUUUUUCUACCUUUUCUUCCUUCCUCUUUCUUUCAUUUUAAGAUAAGGAAUUAUGUUUUAAAGUUUGUAUGUGUGCAUUUUGUAUCUCCCCUUGUAUUUUGGUAUUUUUAUCUAUUUGUGUGCCAUGGCAUUACUCUUGUAGCUUGUAGUGUAUACUCCUCACCUUUUAACUAAAUGUAUUUAGUUUCAGAAGUAAGUUAUACAUUGUAACAAUGUUAACAAGGGCAGGAAUCAAUCCCCCUCUUCCCUGUAUCAGGAGGGCCCCUGAAAGAGCAAGUGAAUCAGUGAGUGAAUGUGUAACACAGUAGCAGCAGGCAGCAAUUAACACCUAGGGAAACGGCAGAUCAACCAAGGGAAGAAAUCAAUAGAAGACAAUGUAGCAACCGGGAAUUCUCUAAACCUCAGGGUUCACGGGCUAGAAGCCCUGGUCUGAGUUAAUCAAUGCCGGGGACCAACUUUUGGGCUGAAUAUCUCCAGAUCGACUGCUCCCAGAGCCCUAUUCAAAAUUCAUCAACGGACUCCCAAACCUGCACAUACAUGUGGACGACCCCUGGGGCUGACAGAUGCCAUCCAGUAGCCACCAAGGGGAAAGUCCCACAGGGGUCAACGACCCCUGGAUUGGGCAAACCUGAAAACUGGGGAGUCACCAAAGUCUGCCAACGACAGACAAAAAGCAGUGAAAAGUGACCCUCAGCAGUGCCCUCUUGAUCUCCAACUUGACCAGCACCCAACCUGUCCAGCCAGAAGGACCAGCCAGUGACCCCCUUCUGGAGGAUAACACCAUGCUGGAAGAAGCCUCGACUGGCCAUCAACGGCAGACUCCAGCGCCUGUGGGAUAGGUAUACCUGACUCUUAUAGCUCGCUACUGUGUGCGUGCAUGUGUGUGCGCAUGGGGGGGGGGGACCAGCCCCAAGGUUUAUGAUUUGACUUCAUUACAGUGUUUCAAUCCACCUAAUAAACCAGAAUUUUAAGGAUCCCGAGUUGGACAUUUGUAGCCAACAGCACGGCUUCCAUA